rnacentral:rRNA from 1 species
GAUGAACGCUAGCGGGAGGCCUAACACAUGCAAGCCGAGCGGUAGAGUCUCUUCGGAGACUUGAGAGCGGCGCACGGGUGCGGAACACGUGUGCAACCUGCCUUUAUCUGGGGGAUAGCCUUUCGAAGGGAAGAUUAAUACCCCAUAAUAUACUGGAUGGCAUCAUCUGGUAUUGAAAACUCCGGUGGAUAGAGAUGGGCACGCGCAAGAUUAGAUAGUUGGUGAGGUAACGGCUCACCAAGUCAGCGAUCUUUAGGGGGCCUGAGAGGGUGAUCCCCCACGCUGGUACUGAGACACGGACCAGACUCCUACGGGAGGCAGCAGUGAGGAAUAUUGGACAAUGGGUGAGAGCCUGAUCCAGCCAUCCCGCGUUAAGGACGACGGCCCUAUGGGUUGUAAACUUCUUUUGUAUAGGGAUAAACCUAGAUACGUGUAUCUAGCUGAAGGUACUAUACGAAUAAGCACCGGCUAACUCCGUG